CAGCCGCCCCUCACAUCACCGGGUGGAUCCAGUAAUGGGAACCCACCAGAGAGCAUUUCCCAUCUUCUGUAUUCCCGGGAUCCGGCACUAGAUGAUCACAACUAUGCGCGCUGUUACCAGGGUAAAGAUAUGAUCGAUCUAAAAGUUGAGUUUAGAACAGAAAAGGAAGAAACGUAUAUGAAGUGUGACCUUUCCCUGGAAGAAGGUAAAAUGAUGAUGCCAAUUACCGAGAAGGAAUUUAUCCAUGUCAUUAUGAAGAAUUGGCGACCCCUCACAUCACCGGAUGGAUCCAGUAAUGGGAACCCACCAGAGAGAUG